rnacentral:rRNA from 1 species
AUACGGAGGAUCCGAGCGUUAUCCGGAAUUAUUGGGUUUAAAGGGUGCGUAGGCGGCUAUUUAAGUCAGCGGUGAAAUUUUGCAGCUUAACUGUAACAGUGCCGUUGAAACUGUUUAGCUAGGAUUUGGUUGCAGUGUGCGGAAUGUGUGGUGUAGCGGUGAAAUGCUUAGAUAUCACACAGAACACCAAUUGCGAAGGCAGCACACUAAGUCAAUAUUGACGCUGAGGCACGAAAGUGUGGGGAUCAAACAGGAUUAGAUACCCUGGUAGUCCACACUGUAAACGAUGAUAACUCGCUGCCGGCGAUACAUUGUCGGUGGCCAAGCGAAAGCAUUAAGUUAUCCACCUGGGGAGUACGACCGCAAGGUUGAA